rnacentral:rRNA from 1 species
CCUACGGGGGGCAGCAGUAGGGAAUAUUGCACAAUGAGGGAAACCCUGCUGCAGCGACGCCGCGUGAGCGAUGAAGUAUUUCGGUAUGUAAAGCUCUAUCAGCAGGGAAGAAGAUGACGGUACCUGACUAAGAAGCCCCGGCUAACUACGUGCCAGAAGCCGGGGUAAUACGUAGGGGGCAAGCGUUAUCCGGAUUUAAUGGGUGGAAAGGUAGCGUAGACGGCGAUGCAAGCCAGAUAUGAAAGCCCGGGGCUGCACCCCGGGACUGCAUUUGGAACUGUGUGGCUGGAGUGUCGGAGAGGCAGGCGGAAUUCCUAGUGUAGCGGUGAAAUGCGUAGAUAUUAGGAGGAACACCAGUGGCGAAGGCGGCCUGCUGGACGAUGACUGACGUUGAGGCUCGAAAGCGUGGGGAGCAAACAGGAUUAGAUACCCGAGUAGUC